UGGGGAAUAUUGCACAAUGGGCGAAAGCCUGAUGCAGCGACGCCGCGUGAGGGAUGACGGCCUUCGGGUUGUAAACCUCUUUCAGCAGGGAAGAAGCGAAAGUGACGGUACCUGCAGAAGAAGCGCCGGCUAACUACGUGCCAGCAGCCGCGGUAAUACGUAGGGCGCAAGCGUUGUCCGGAAUUAUUGGGCGUAAAGAGCUCGUAGGCGGUUAGUCGCGUCUGCUGUGAAAACUCGAGGCUCAACCUCGGGCUUGCAGUGGGUACGGGCUGACUAGAGUGCGGUAGGGGUGACUGGAAUUCCUGGUGUAGCGGUGGAAUGCGCAGAUAUCAGGAGGAACACCGAUGGCGAAGGCAGGUCACUGGGCCGCAACUGACGCUGAGGAGCGAAAGCAUGGGGAGCGAACAGGAUUAGAUACCCUGGUAGUCCAUGCCGUAAACGUUGGGCGCUAGGUGUGGGGUCCAUUCCACGGAUUCCGUGCCGCAGCAAACGCAUUAAGUGCCCCGCCUGGGGAGUACGGCCGCAAGGCUAAAACUUAAAUGAAUUGACGGGGUCAUAGCUGUUUCCU
rnacentral:rRNA from 1 species